rnacentral:rRNA from 1 species
UACGUAGGGGGCUAGCGUUAUCCGGAAUUACUGGGCGUAAAGGGUGCGUAGGUGGUUUCUUAAGUCAGAGCUGAAAGGCUACGGCUCAACCGUAGUAAGCCUUUGAAACUGGGGAACUUGAGUGCAGGAGAGGAGAGUGGAAUUCCUAGUGUAGCGGUGAAAUGCGUAGAUAUUAGGAGGAACACCAGUUGCGAAGGCGGCUCUCUGGACUGUAACUGACACUGAGGCACGGAAGCGUGGGGAGCAAACAGG